rnacentral:rRNA from 1 species
UACGGGGGGAGCAAGCGUUGUUCGGAUUUACUGGGCGUAAAGGGCGCGUAGGCGGCCACCGCAAGUCAAUUGUGAAAUCUCCGGGCUUAACUCGGAAAGGUCAACUGAUACUGCGGGGCUAGAGUGCGGAAGGGGCAACUGGAAUUCUCGGUGUAGCGGUGAAAUGCGUAGAUAUCAGGAGGAACACCGGUGGCGAAGGCGGGUCUCUGGGCAGUAACUGACGCUGAGGAGCGAAAGCGUGGGGAGCGAACAGG